GAAAGCCCUAUGCUUUGGAAGAAGCUUGUACAGUUUGGGAAGGGGUUUUUUGAGAGAAAAGAAGAAUCUACUUCAAC
rnacentral:ncRNA from 1 species